UUCUGCCGAGCUGUGUUCCCGCGCUCUCGUGAAAAGUCUGGUACUGGGGCUUCGAAUUGUAGUGUUUGGAAGACUGUUGAAGGUUGUGCUUUUGUGGAGCUGGAGUUCAUCGGCAGUUCUACAGUGCUUGCGCCAGAGAAACGUCGGUGCUUCUGUACCUGUUAGACGAAGGAGCGUUUGCCAAGUCUUGAAAGGUAGACAUCGGUGAUGGUGUAUACGUUGAAAAGGGCCUGCUGAAGAGGCUGUGCCUGGAUGCUAACAACUCAGGCUUUCACUUCGCGGAGGGCCUCCUUAAAGCUCCUUUUUCAAUAGAAGACGUUGAAGGGAGGUCCUUCUUUGGGCGGCUGUCAAAUGCCUUCCACAGAAGGAUCCGUUGGAUUCCAAGAAGGUCAACACCAUAGUAGACUACACAACGCA